UUUUUUGUUAGUCUAUACAUUGUAGAUUUUUUACAUAAAUGGCAAUAUUAGUUUGAAGUUUAGAGUGUAUUGUAGAUGAGCUGAAAAGUGGGAUAUUCGACAUUUAAAAUGAAAUUGUUCAAAAUCUAAAUUGAACCGGGGGGGGGGCAGAGGCUAAAGGUCAACUGCUGACAAAUGAAAAGGCGUUUGGUGUGUCCUUUAUUCCAGUUUUAGUUGUAAAGCGCAUCAUCAGCCGCCCAGAUGAACUCCGAAUGAAUCUGCUCACGUUGGCGCCGAGGGAAAAUGUGGGAAGAUUUUUGUCUCGAACAGUAAUUAUGCAACUGGUUUUUGAAUGUAGCUACCAUACAAAUGUGGAUCACCCUCAUUCUCAAAACUUAAGAUGACAUGAUGGGAGAGUGAUACCUUAUCAGUGCCUGAACUUGUAUUUUCAUUUAAGACAGUUUUAUUUUGUGAACCAUAUCAUUUCAUUUACCAUGGAGAUUAAAGAGGUACUUGUUCAUUCCCCCACCCUCCCUUCUCCUAAUGCUUUCUUCAAUUUUCAGGAAGAAGUUUAAAUGGUAUAAAGAGAUUUUCUUUCAGUGUAUCUAGUUAAAUAAAUAAAUGUUACGUAGAUCUUGUUUAGUUUUUAUUCCCCUUUUUUUCUAAUUAUUCAACUGGAUUAUACUGUCCAAACUGCUGUGUUAGUUAAGGUCAUGGGUCCAGGUCAUGAGUUUUCUUUCCCUCAGCCCUAUAUUGGUACAUUGCUUCACAUUUCAGGGUUCAAGAGAUGCUGCUUUUGGCUCUGAUUGUCUGCGGGUUGAUGCACAUUAACAUGUUUCAGUAUGUGUUGCUUCAAUUUCAAUGUAGGGAGUGAGUUGUUUUUUUUUCUUUUCUUUUCGUUCUCGUUGUAGCUGGAACCUCCUAAUGACUCGGAGCAUUCAAUAUUUCUGUAUAUCAGAGUGCAAGCCCUUUGCUGCAGAGACUUUCAAUAUAUUUAGUCUCCUCAUACUAUUUUCACCUCUUCCAGCUCUUUGAUGCUGUUGACACUGACUUUUUUUUUAAGAAGUUCUAAUCACUUCUUUGAAAAAAAAAAAAAAGAAAAGAAAAAGUUGUAUUAAGUUUUUCUUAUUAUUUGAAGAUCAACUAUUGUACUGAAUAUUGCUGAUUUGGGGGAACUCUGACUUGAUGUCAUUUAGUAUUCUGUGAGCAUCCCAUUAGCCUUCAAGCGACAUACUCAAAUCAUUUGUUUUGGGGGACGACGACGACCUUAUUUCUUAAAACGAGUCUUCACAUAGACACAGUUUGAAGUCUGCAGAAAAGCAAGCCGAACACUGCAGGGGCACAUGAUGUCAACAGAAAAUUACAAUAUUCUGAUGGAAAAUGUUAGGUUGACGGGCUUGACAUUGUUUUGGUAUAAGAAAGCAGUAAUAAAACACUUGCUUUCAACAGUUUUGUCAUAUCUUUGUUGAACUAAAAAGGGGGAGACCAUUGAGUGUUAAUACAUUCACAGGUACAGAGCCUGACAUCUUGGGAGUGAGCGUGCUGUUGACUCCUGCUGGGUCCUCAGCGUCUCACUCCGUCUCUCUCUGUCUCUCUCUUUUUUUAUACAUAUAUAUAUAUAUAUAUAUAAAUAUAUAUAGUUGAGAACUGUCCUGUAUAUAACAGUAAUGUAGCAAUAAAUGUG
ensembl:lncRNA